rnacentral:rRNA from 1 species
AGUGAACGCUGGCGGCAGGCUUAACACAUGCAAGUCGAACGCACCGCAAGGUGAGUGGCAGACGGGUGAGUAACGCGUGGGAACCUUCCCUUUGGUUCAGGAUAGCUCCGGGAAACUGGAAUUAAUACUGGAUAAGAUCUACGGAUGAAAGAUUUAUCGCCGAAGGAUGGGCCCGCGUAAGAUUAGCUAGUUGGUAAGGUAAUGGCUCACCAAGGCAAUGAUCUUUAGCUGGUCUGAGAGGAUGAUCAGCCACACUGGAACUGAGACACGGUCCAGACUCCUACGGGAGGCAGCAGUGAGGAAUAUUGGACAAUGGGCGCAAGCCUGAUCCAGCCAUGCCGCGUGAGUGAUGAAGGCCUUAGGGUUGUAAAACUCUUUUAGUAGGGAAAAUAAUGAUGGUACCUACAGAAAAAGCUCCGGCUAACUUCGUGCCAGCCGCCGCGGUAA